UUUUGAUUCCCAUCAUUCUCAGGAUGGACAACCCUGAGAUGAGUAUGCUCUCGAUGAGCGACAUUUUACCACCUCGAGGUGUUGUUGCUGUUUGAUGACUUCGUACAUACCAAAGGCGACCCAAAUCAGCCUAAAAGUAGUCAGUGUUAUGGUGUUCUGUUCUUUUGAAAUGACUACAUCCUUCAUGCGGAAUGAUUUCUGAUUUUCCGCAAAAUUGAUGCCAAGGAAUUGGAGAUUACUUUUCCUGCAAUAAGGAUCUGCACUGAAUGAUCAUUAUUGCAGACGAGGUUUCUCAAAUCUUUUCCAAGUCCCUCCACCUCCGACGCUCUGCAUUAAUUUCACGUGAAACAUUACCCGUGACAUCAGGCAAUGCAAGAAAAUUAUCUGUGGCCUGGCCUCUCGUGUCUGCACUCGAUUUCACAAUCUUCAAUUACAGUACGAGUAGAGGAGCGCAAGAAAAUUUAUAACGUACAAGGUGGAGAUGUUGUACAGAUACGUGACAAUGUGGAGGUCACAAGUUUGACUGAAACAAAUAUAAAUUUGAAAAUGAUGACCAUGGUGUAUGGAUGGUCAACAGCAUUGCCAUUGAGUCACUAAGAGGUAUACAAUGCGCGCUAUCCCACAGCCAGGGCCGGAUUACAUUCGACGCACUAAAGGGAUCUUUUGGUGUUUGGACACAUUUUGCGUGAAUCGUGGUUUUAAGCAACAUGUUUGAAACGGACACCAGCCUUUGCUCAAUAAGAGUUGAACGAGCUUCUAAAUGGGAAGUUGAACUUUGAAUCCCUUUUUCUCAAGACUUGGAUGAGGUUGGAUAGCCCACUAUACUUCUCAGCAAAUUGAUGUUAAAGCAAAGGUUUAAAAAAAAAAAAAGGCUGCUCUGGUAGUGAAGUAGAAAAUGGGUAAAGAUAGUGAUGUCUAUGUAUGUCCUCCAGGCCAAUAUAUGCUGCCUCUCUCGUGAGGAAGAGGAGUGCCUCAACUUCCUCGAUAACACCAUCGGCUCUCUGGACGAGUCGAGCCUGGUCCACAAAAACCUGGCUCUUGGCAGCAUUAGAAGUCGUGAGGAUACGGUGGACCUGCUAACUAAUGCAGUGCAACAAAAUGAUGGGGCUGAUGUUGCUGCUGUAUUUACCAGCACGAAACAUCUAUCAGAAGCAGAACCUGUGGAGCACACCUUGUCAGACUCAUCAUCUCAACAGAGCAGCGAAGGAUCAUUGACUUCAGCUUUCGAAAAUAACAGAACCACGCACCCAGCACAACAGCAGCAACGGGUGAUGGAUACACAACUCUUUGGACCCGGAUCGAUGCCUGGAGCAAACGCUGAAGCACUCACUGUUUCAACAAUGAUAGAGAACGGGAGCCAAAUUUCUCCAGAUGAGCUAUCUCUGGAAAACAAGGAGGAAGCUGGAGUUAGUAGAGAUGAGCAAGGACGAGGCAGUGAGAGUGAUUGGCCUUCACAUUCACCUGCAGAGAACUUUCAUUCUCCAUCGGAUCCCAAGGAGCUUCAUAUCUGCGGUGCCGGUCGAAUUCCUGGGCGCAUUGGUCCUGCACAAACGAAGAACUUCGAUACAAUCAUGAAAGCUGGAGUAAAUGUGCAGAAACGGAGGGCAGUGAUGCUGGAUCUUCUCAACCACCACAAUAACAACAACAACAACAACAACAACAGCAAUGAUAGUGAUUCAGGCUUGGGUCUCAGCCCAAGGGAUCAGAAUCUUUUUGUUCCCUCUUUUUCAACUUCUGUCCCCGUGACCGAGCAACCUUUUGUGAUUAAAGGUGAUGUCAGAAGUUUUGAGAGAUCUGAGUUUCGAGACAAAAGGGACUCCAAUUCAGUCUCUCAGCCACCAUCUCGGUCAGGCUCUUUGGUUGAAGCUCCAACCAAUAUGUGGCCAAUCUCUCGCUCAUGCUCCGAGCGCCGUAUCAUGUUGAAUGGGAAAACGAUCGCCAAAUAUCCAUCUUUCGAAGAUGAAAUGAAAAAAAGUGUUUGUGCACUUCAAAAGCCUGUCACUCAACAAAUAACAUUUGUAGGGCCAGGACAUUGGAAGAUUAUUGCACCAAAAAGUUAACUUCCCUCGAGUCAUGAUGAAAGAUGAAAAGCUCAACUUGCUGCAAGCCAUCUUUAUGUUUUUAAAAGUAUUUUUCUCAUUGUUUGUAUACUAUGUAUAGAUAUCUGUGCCAUUUGGAACUGUGCUUUACUGCCAAUUGGUUGUAGUUUUGGUACCUAUUUAGGAUGGUCGUCCAUGCUUUAUCAACGUUAUUCAUGGAGUACAAUUUCUGUCUCGACAGUACCAUUUCCUACUGGUUUCAGCUUUCUUUUUCUUAAAAAAAAAAAAAAAAUCUAAUGUUUAACCCAUCACUUCUCCUUCAUGAGUUUCUAAUCAUAACUUAUUCUAUGAGUCGACGAAUGACAUUAUUACCCCCAUUAUGAAACUACCAAUGAUUACGAACCAGAAGGAGUGGCACUAAAAGUUUCGCAAGUCGCCUUGGAUACCCUAGAGGAAACGAGAUAAAGAUUACAAAUGUUUACGAACACUAUAAACUGCUACAGUAUGAGCUAUGCAUGUCAUAUAUGACACAAUGACAUGCAAGUCUCAAUUGCCUAUUUGAAGGGGGGGUUUUAGCAUUUACAUUAUCUUCAGCUAUAUUUAUAAAUUAAUCUUUCAUGUGAACUUUGCAAUGGCCAUGACACUGAGUCACGAGCUUUGAUAAUGACUUAACCUGCAGUACGAGCCAAACUUGUUUAAGGAAAAAUGAAACAUGUUUGGUAUGCUUACUUUGUUCCUUAUUGUAGUGGCAGCAUUAUGCUAUAAUCACCUCUUUGCUGUAAUACAUUUUUCCAUAAUGCUUCGUUGUAAUAAUAUUUUAUUUUUGUUGUGCUUAUGAAAUAAAACAUCGACUCGAAUUGGUGUGUGUUUACGCCGUAUGUACGUAUGUUUCACGGGUUCUACGGGUCGUUGUCGGGGAAAUAAUUCCCUAUAGUGUGUGGACCCCCCCCCCCC
ensembl:lincRNA